rnacentral:tRNA from 1 species
GAGGGGAUAGCUCAGUGGUAGAGUGUCAGCCUAGCAUGCUUGAAGCCCUGGGUUCAAUCCCCAGUACCUCCA